rnacentral:tRNA from 1 species
GCCGAAGUGGUGGAAUGGCAUACACGACGGUCUCAAAAACCGUUAGGUUCACGCCUGUGAGGGUUCGACUCCCUCCUUCGGCA